rnacentral:rRNA from 1 species
UGAAGCGGGGGAGGCAGCCAGAGUAGCUUGCUACUUUGCCGGCGAGCGGCGGACGGGUGAGUAAUGUCUGGGAAACUGCCUGAUGGAGGGGGAUAACUACUGGAAACGGUAGCUAAUACCGCAUAACGUCGCAAGACCAAAGAGGGGGACCUUCGGGCCUCUUGCCAUCAGAUGUGCCCAGAUGGGAUUAGCUAGUAGGUGGGGUAACGGCUCACCUAGGCGACGAUCCCUAGCUGGUCUGAGAGGAUGACCAGCCACACUGGAACUGAGACACGGUCCAGACUCCUACGGGAGGCAGCAGUGGGGAAUAUUGCACAAUGGGCGCAAGCCUGAUGCAGCCAUGCCGCGUGUAUGAAGAAGGCCUUCGGGUUGUAAAGUACUUUCAGCGGGGAGGAAGGCGUUGAGGUUAAUAACCUCAGCGAUUGACGUUACCCGCAGAAGAAGCACCGGCUAACUCCGUGCCAGCAGCCGCGGUAAUACGGAGGGUGCAAGCGUUAAUCGGAAUUACUGGGCGUAAAAGCGCACGCGGGCGGUCUGUCAAGUCGGAUGUGAAAUCCCCGGGCUCAACCUGGGAACUGCAUUCGAAACUGGCAGGCUAGAGUCUUGUAGAGGGGGGUAGAAUUCCGAGGUGUAGCGGUGAAAUGCGUAGAGUAUCUGGGAGGAAUACCGGGUGGGCGAAGGCGGCCCCCCUGGGCCAAAGACUGACGCUCAUGUGCGAAAGCGUGUGGAGCACAGGGGGAUUAUAUACCC